AAGAAGAAAGGGGAAGCAGGUGGAAAAGCAAUUAAAAAAAAAUCAGGUGAGUAUAUCUAAGAACCAUCUGUAAAUAUAAUCUUAUUUCCAUGAAAGGAAAUAAAAGUGGUUUAAUGUUUGCCAGGGAGUAAGAAGGCACCCUCAGUGUUAGCAAUAAGUAAAAAAUAUUUAUGCAAGCAAAUCCUCAUGCAGCUGGAACUUGCCCCACCAGAUUCUCUUUCGGUGAUUCAGAGCUGAAGGUGCCUCACUGCCCUGUGGAACAGGUGAAUAAAGCCUUCCCAGCAUCUCUCUCUAGCCUAUUAUCUCCUGUUAGACACAGCCCAGAAAAUGAAUAGAGACAAGUCCUGGCUGGGUCUGGGUUCAGAAACAUAAUAGAAGGAUUCAUCUAAUGGAAGGGAAUUCUUUCCACAGUUGCUAGUUCCUCACACCUCUGCCUCUAUGGGAUUCUCCUGGUCCCCACAUGCUCUGCUGUGUCUUCUAGCUGUCGGCCACUGUGGAGGAAGUGAACCUUCUAGAUCCUGCUGACUCAUACAAUGAGUUUUGUGUGGACCAUCAGACAAAAGGGCUGGCUGGUGAAGGUGGCUGUUGUCUGGAAAUUCCUCCCAGCUCUCCUCUAAUUAUGUCAUAAGGACUGGAGGCCCCUUAGCCUGCUUGUGAUAACACGCAAGGAAAUAUGGGCCAACUCUUCACAUGAACACAAGAUAUUUCCAUGCUAGCCUUUUGCAAGUAACAACAGAGAGAGCUCUGUGCAGUUUUCACUGGAAUGCCUGUGGAUUGCUUGUGUCAUAACUGUAAUCUAAAGAGUUGUCCAUUUGUUGAUUCCUUUGUAUUUGUAUUGGUAGAAUUGCCACUAUCAAACCAAGAUCUUUAGCUGCCUUUGUAUCAACUUCUUUGGAGCUUAUGUGAUUUUCCAGAAAAUUUCCAAGGCAUAGUUUUGUCCCUAAGUCCCAUGAAUAUGUAAUAUUUUGUGUCUCUCUAUUAAAAUAGCACUUUUUGUGCAUUCCAUUAAC
ensembl:lncRNA GIRGL glutamine insufficiency regulator of glutaminase lncRNA